rnacentral:rRNA from 1 species
AUGGACGAUGAACUGCAGAAGCGUACCGCUGGCUUUGCGGAAGGUAUGGUGGUUAUGGUAUGCCCGGUGCUUGUAGCAAUUGCUCUUGACAAGGUUGACCUCAAAGUGUAUGGACACCACGCUUUCUCCGCCAUGCUCACCAUGGCAGCUGUCACUUUGAUAAUCGGUAUCUGCCCCUUCCUCAUCUGCUGGUUCUCCAGGACAUUCGUCAGGCCUGUCCCGGUAACCGCGAUCCUGGCAACCCUUUCCUCUUGUUCCCUCCUCAUCCUCACCUGCUUCAUCGCACAGCUCGUUGUCCCCAAAAACACUUUAAUCAUCUUGGGCGUGGUAUUUGGAUUCCUUGUCCUGCUUCGAGCAGUCGAGUACUACCGUCGAGGGGAUUUUGAUCGGUAUCCACAAGACAAGAUACUCAAUGAAUCACAUGAGUUCUUGACGGGUGUCACUGGAGUUCUCUUUCUGGGGCUGGAAGGUCUGGCACUAGAAGGUCAUGACGAUCCGAUGUUUGAAAAGGGUGGGGCCGUGGCGGUCGCCAGCUUCAUAGUUUGCUGUGCUGGCGUGUGCAUGAUGUAUCUCGAGAUGACCCCCCCUAUAGAUUUCAAAGAUGAGAAACAUGUUGUGAGUUUAACUCUGACGCUAGAUAGCAUCAUGGCUGGUGGUACCUUCACGCUCUUGAUGGUCGUCAUGUUUCAGCUCAUGGGGCCUCCAGCCCUGGUGCUCUUCCUACCCCCGGUUCUAAUCAUCGGCGACCUUGUGUACCGGGUGACCGUCCACGACACCGCAGCUGGCGACGACCAAGUGUCCGAACCGGCGGCUUCGCUUGAACUGACAAAAGUCACCUUCAUCCGGGUUCUUGGCUGUGUCAAUAACAGCCAUCCGCAACACUUCGCCCAGCAAGUUGACCGGCUGUUUCCUACUAUUCGCGGCAGCAGCUAUUGUGUUCGGUCUCUCAUGGAGGCUUCUGUCACAGACCCACGUAAGGAUUUCUUUGAGCGGUGUUUCACAUCGUCAUUUUGA